rnacentral:rRNA from 1 species
GACAGAGGGUGCGAACGUUGUUCGGAAUUACUGGGCGUAAAGCGCAUGUAGGCGGCAGCGCAAGUCGGGCGUGAAAUCCCACGGCUCAACCGUGGAAGUGCACUCGAAACUGCGCAGCUAGAGUCCUGGAGAGGAAGGUGGAAUGCUUGGUGUAGAGGUGAAAUUCGUAGAUAUCAGGCGGAACACCGGUGGCGAAGGCGGCCUUCUGGACAGUGACUGACGCUGAGAUGCGAAAGCGUGGGGAGCAAACAGG